CCUAAAGCACGUUGAGGCCAACACGCGAGAGCAUCCGCAAGGAAGUCAGCAGCUGUAGCGUUAAGAUGUAACAUCUGAUUGUGUUCAAAUUUAUCAAACUGCACUGGCUGAUCUCGUAGACAAAAAGAGCUGGAGAAGCUGGAUUAAUUUAGAACACGGAACGCAUCUGCUCACCUGCUUGCCUUGAAUCCUUUCAAUUUCUGUACAAAGAAUGAUUCAAGAACUUCUGCACACUGGUAAAAAGGCGAGUCACUCGGAUUGUAGUAACGACAGUUAUCAAAAAUUUUGGUCAUAUCUGCCACGAAUUCCGUCAGCUUUUCAUAAUACCGCCUUUGUAUUCUCUCUUCCAUGGUUGCAAGGUCUUAAAGACACAAAAUGUAGAACAUUCUUAAAGCUUGAAGGCAGCUCCAGCGUCAAGACUGCCCACACGCCCAGCAAGAACAUAGGUUUCCUGCCCGCGCAGCCCCAGAGCCAAUCUGAUUCGCGCUGGGGACUAUUUAGCAAUUCACAAAGAAAAGAGGAGCCCUUCUCCAACUUCGUGUCUGAUUAGGGGACUCUAAAAGGUAAAUCUUGGCUACUGAUAAGCAGGUUCUUUUCCUUUCAGUUAACGCGAGAACACAACUUCAUUCAGUUGGGUUGAAACAAAGGAAACCACACCCACAUGAUCAAUACAUAUCCAAGUACAACACAUUCUGACAUGGGAGCAAUUAUGUGUAUUACAUGUACAAAGAGAAGGAGGGAAUCCAAAAUAAAGAACGAAAUAUCUCUGUG